AUUGAACGCUGGCGGAAUGCCUAACACAUGCAAGUCGAACGGCAGCGCGGGUGCUUGCACCUGGCGGCGAGUGGCGAACGGGUGAGUAAUGCAUCGGAACGUGCCCAGUCGUGGGGGAUAACGCAGCGAAAGCUGUGCUAAUACCGCAUACGAUCUGUGGAUGAAAGCGGGGGACCGAAAGGCCUCGCGCGAUUGGAGCGGACGAUGUCAGAUUAGGUAGUUGGUGGGGUAAAGGCUCACCAAGGCAACGAUCUGUAGCUGGUCUGAGAGGACGACCAGCCACACUGGGACUGAGACACGGCCCAGACUCCUACGGGAGGCAGCAGUGGGGAAUUUUGGACAAUGGGCGCAAGCCUGAUCCAGCAAUGCCGCGUGCAGGAAGAAGGCCUUCGGGUUGUAAACUGCUUUUGUACGGAGCGAAAAGGCUCUCUCGAAUACAGGGGGCACAUGACGGUACCGUAAGAAUAAGCACCGGCUAACUACGUGCCAGCCGCCGCCGUAA
rnacentral:rRNA from 1 species